rnacentral:rRNA from 1 species
AGUGAACGCUGGCGGUAGGCCUAACACAUGCAAGUCGAACGGCAGCACAGUAAGAGCUUGCUCUUACGGGUGGCGAGUGGCGGACGGGUGAGGAAUACAUCGGAAUCUACUUUUUCGUGGGGGAUAACGUAGGGAAACUUACGCUAAUACCGCAUACGACCUACGGGUGAAAGCAGGGGAUCUUCGGACCUUGCGCGAUUGAAUGAGCCGAUGUCGGAUUAGCUAGUUGGCGGGGUAAAGGCCCACCAAGGCGACGAUCCGUAGCUGGUCUGAGAGGAUGAUCAGCCACACUGGAACUGAGACACGGUCCAGGCUCCUACGGGAGGCAGCAGUGGGGAAUAUUGGACAAUGGGCGCAGGCCUGAUCCAGCCAUGCCGCGUGGGUGAAGAAGGCCUUCGGGUUGUAAAGCCCUUUUGUUGGGAAAGAAAAGCAGCAGGUUAAUACCCCGCUGUUCUGACGGUACCCAAAGAAUAAGCACCGGCUAACUUCGUG